AUCGAACGCUGGCGGCAUGCCUAACACAUGCAAGUCGAGCGGAGCGGCGGACGGGGGAGUAAUGCCUAGGAAUCUGCCUGGUAGUGAGGGAUCACGUCCGGGAACGGGCGCUAAUACCGCAUACUAGCAGGGGAGCCUAGGUCGGAUUAGCUAGUAGGUGGGGUAACGGCUCACCUAGGCGACGAUCCCUAGCCGGUCUGAGAGGAUGACCAGCCACACUGGAACUGAGACACGGUCCAGACUCCUACGGGAGGCAGCAGUGGGGAAUAUUGCACAAUGGGCGCAAGCCUGAUGCAGCCAUGCCGCGUGUGUGAAGAAGGUCUUCGGGUUGUAAAGCACUUUCAGCAGGGAGGCGUUACCCGCAGAGGAAGCACCGGCUAACUCCGUGCCAGCAGCCGCGGUAAUAC
rnacentral:rRNA from 1 species